CUCUCUCUAAUGGCCAAAAUCCUCUUCUUUGUGCUCUGUCUUCUCUCUUAAAUCCUCCUUCACUAAAUCAUCUUCUCAACAAUCAGGAAGCGUGUAAGGAUUCCUAGCGUUGAGAGCUCGAAAUCCCACCGAUCAAUUUAGCAUUUCUCUAACUAGUAAGUGUUUUCCCCUUUUAUGUGUAAUUUAGGGCUAUGACCAUGUAAUGAGUUUGUUGCAUGUAGCCCAUUGUGUCUCUUUUCC
rnacentral:lncRNA from 1 species